rnacentral:rRNA from 1 species
UUAGAGUUUGAUCCUGGCUCAGGACGAACGCUGGCGGCGUGCCUAAUACAUGCAAGUCGAACGCUUUUUCUUUCACCGGAGCUUGCUCCAUCGGAAGAAAAAGAGUGGCGGACGGGUGAGUAACACGUGGGUAACUUGCCCAUCAGAGGGGGAUAACACUUGGAAACAGGUGCUAAUACCGCAUAACUCCAGUGACCGCAUGGUCAUGGGAUAAAAGACGCUUUCGGGUGUCACUGAUGGAUGGACCCGCGCUGCAUUAGCUAGUUGGUGGGGUAAAGGCUCACCAAGGCCAUGGUGCAUAGCCGACCUGAGAGGGUGAUCGGCCACACUGGGACUGAGACACGGCCCAGACUCCUACGGGAGGCAGCAGUAGGGAAUCUUCGGCAAUGGACGAAAGUCUGACCGAGCAACGCCGCGUGAGUGAAGAAGGUUUUCGGAUCGUAAAACUCUGUUGUUAGAGAAGAAUUAGCGGGAAAGUAACUGUUCCCGCCCUGACGGUAUCUAACCAGAAAGCCACGGCUAACUACGUGCCAGCAGCCGCGGUAAUACGUAGGUGGCAAGCGUUGUCCGGAUUUAUUGGGCGUAAAGCGAGCGCAGGCGGUUUCUUAAGUCUGAUGUGAAAUCCCCCGGCUCAACCGGGGAAGGUCAUUGGAAACUGGGGGAACUUGAGUGCAGAAGAGGAGAGUGGAAUUCCAUGUGUAGCGGUGAAAUGCGUAGAUAUUAGGAAGAAUACCCGUAGCGAAGGGCGACUUACUGGCCCUCUAACUGACGCUGAAGAACGAAAGCGUGGGGUAGCAAAACAGGAUUAAAAUACCCUGGUAAUCCCCCCC